AAACAGAAUCUGUGUUGGCGUGCAGGGAGCAGGCAGCGUCUGCAAAGUAGCGCUGGCAACCACAACAGAGAGGCCAGCAACAGGAGGAGCAGGAGGAGCGUGAGUCACUGGGGUCUGGGGAGGGCAGCAAGGGAGGAGGGCAGAGGAAAGAGGCUGCUCUCCUGCUGGUAAACAUCCCCCAAAUCAGCAGAGCAAAACCAGGAAACACCAGAAUAUCAACCUGUGAUUACACAGGCAGAUUCCUGGAUCCUACCACAGAGCUGCUACAUCGUAAUGUCGGAGUGCGGGGAGGCGGGUAGAAUCCAGAAAUUUGCAUUUUUUUUUCAGGUCAGACAGGUAAUGUACCGGGUCAUAAGGAGGUUCAGAGGGUGUCACGUCUUACACAUGCCUGUGAACACCCAAUCAUCAUGCUUUUGAACUACAAAAGAAUCGAGAUAUUUGCAUUUUAAAGAAGUUCUCAAGGGGAUUUUUAAGCAGUAUUACCCACAGGCCUGAGCAACUGGGAGCUUUGCCCUGAGCCCUGCCUUUUAGAGGGCUCAAGGCUAGCCUUCUUCCAGCCACGCCCCUCAGAGCUAACAUCCUACAAGACAAGGGAACAUGCCCAGCGGAACCCCAUGCUCACCUAGUACAUGACACCCCCUACCUAGACCAUGCGUCUGGUACCCAGGACCCUGGAUUCAUGCCUAAAUGGCAUUGAGACCAAUUCCAUGGCCUGAAUGGACCUCUGGCCCAGGCAGCGCCUGUUGUGUGCUUCUGCAGGUGGACCACACUGCAUGGUGUGCACAACUCUGGAAGGAAGAGUUCCUCAUGGGCUGCUUGGUGGACUUGAGUGUUGAGCUGACCAUAUGUGGUCUCCAAGCCUGACCCUCUGCAAGAACAGGAGCAGGAAAAGAAGCAGGGGGUGGUGCUCUUCCUUGCCCUUCAUGCUCAUUUGUGUUCCCAGCUCACGUAUGUUAAGGAUAUCUAUUGGCCUAACUAGACACUUGCACAUUAUUCUUGGCUACAUUUUUUAAAGUCACAGGG
rnacentral:lncRNA from 1 species